rnacentral:rRNA from 1 species
UACGGGGGGGGACGAGUGUUACUCAUAGUGACUGGGCGUAAAGGGUACGUAGGCGGCACUUUAAAUUUCAAUGCAAGGUCCAUGGCGCAACCGUGGUGAUUUGUAACACUGUAGUGCUUGAGUUUGGCAGAGGUUGGCGGUACUCUUUGGGGGUAGGAUUGAAAAACCGCAAAACCCAAGGGGACUCACAAUGGCGAAGGCAGCUAACCGGGCUCUAACUGACGCUGAGGUACGGAGGCAUGGGGGAUCGAACAGG